rnacentral:rRNA from 1 species
UACGUAGGGUCGGAGCGUUGUCCGGAUUUAUGGGGCGUAAAGAGCUCGUAGGCGGUUUCGUGAGUCUGAUGUGAAAACUCAGGGCUCAACCCGGAGACGCCAUCCGAUACUGCGAUGACUGGAGUCUGGUAGGGGAUCACGGAAUACCUGGUGUAGCGGUGAAAUGCGCAGAUAUCAGGUGGAACACCGAUGGCGAAGGCAGUGAUCUGGGCCAGUACUGACGCUGAGGAGCGAAAGCGUGGGGAGCAAACAGG